rnacentral:rRNA from 1 species
CAGUCGCCGCGGUAAAACGAACCGUGCGAACGUUAUUCGGAAUUACUGGGCUUAAAGCGCGUGUAGGCGGGCCGCCACGUCGGUUGCUGAAAUCCCCCGGCUCAACCGGAGAAGUGGCAUCGAUACGAGCGGCCUUGAGGGGGGUAGGGGGAUCUGGAACUUCCGGUGGAGCGGUGAAAUGCGUUGAGAUCGGAAGGAACGCCCGUGGCGAAAGCGAGGUCCUGGACCCUUUCUGACGCUGAGACGCGAAAGCCAGGGGAGCGAACGGGAUUAGAUACCCGAGUAGUCCAUGUCUCUUAUU